CAGGAGCCUGGAUGCUUUGCCCAGCAGCUCAACUGCCUGACGGAGACGGUCUUCAUUCUGGAAAUGGAAAAUAAAUGAUUUAUGGCCUUUGAAUAUGGGCUGCCCUGCUGAGGGCGUCAUCUUCAGACCGUGUCAGACCUGGUCCCACAGAUGACUGUACUCAGGGGAACUGCUGCUGCUGCCGCCGCGCAUGCGCACUACUGAAACUCACGGCCGUGGAUCCUCACACCGCAGCAACUGCAGAUAUUCCAUGUCAGAUUGGAAGGAGAGGGAGCAGGGAGGACGAAACACGGGGGGAGCAGCGCGUAAAGGCCACGAGAGAGGGAUGGAGACCCGGUGUGAGGAGCAGGAGGAGGGCUGAAAGGUGGAUCCACACUGACAGCCUGGUGAGUGCAGACAGGAUGGAGUGAAAGAGCCAGCACAACGCAGGAUGCGCAUCUCCAGCCUGACCAGGAAGAAGACCAAAAACCCCGAGUGUCUUCCAGGCGUCGC